CCUGUGGUUUGUAGGUUGGGAAUAAGAUGGCAGUUGCAUGGAAUUCUUGCCACUUCACCAAAGAAUACUUGAUUUUGUCACUUUUACCAACUCCCUUAUCUGAGAAGAAAUAAUGAUGCACUCUUAAGAUAAUGAUGGAUGCCUAUGCCAUCUCCAGAGAGUGAGACAACAAAUUAUUUUUAAGUCAGUGGCUCUCCAUUGCUACCUGUGGUCUUUUGGACACCCUUGCAGAUUACUUCUUGGGAACUCUUGGGAAUGAAUGAUACCAGUAAAUCUCUGAAACAAAACUCUCCAGACAAGGAGACUGUGGUCUGAGGACCACGCUUUGAAGGUGGUGACCACCAAUAUGAGGUCGAUUUGUUAUUGAGGGUGCCAUUACUUCUACCACCAACUUCACCAAAACAAUGAUACACCCUUCUUUAUGCUUGGCGAUUCCUCUCUUUCCCGUGUUGCAGUGGACACCUCCUGCAGAUAAGAAAUGCUUAACUGAGAAAUGCUCAUGUUGGGAUUACCAUCGAUGAGACUUUAAUUUGGGCAUGGUGACUGUUUCCCUUGCUGCCACUUGACUCAAUCCCAGGAGCCUCAGUAGAGGAAAUAUUAUUAUACAAGAAACUCAAAAUGGUGGAAUUUCUCAGUGCUCCCAUAAAUAUACAUUUAUAAUUUCCAUUUACCAUAUGGUAAAAAUUUUAAAUAAGAUAUAUUAAAAAGAAACUGCACAAUUUUUUUCAAAAAUUCAAAGCAUAUUUAAAUAUCUAAUAUAUAAAUUAUGUGCCCUCCUCUCUGCCAGUUCUCUCCCCCAGAGUUUUCCUCUCUUAAGAGUUGUGUGCAUUCUUUAAGUGAAUAGAUGCACACACACAGACACACAUAUACACAAACUAUUUUGAGGGGUUCUGGAAGUGGGGCCAUACUGUACACAUUCUUCUGCAAAUUGCCUUUCAUUUUACAGUUUUAAUACCCUUUUCUAUUUCAGUAAUAUACAUCUGUGUCAUUUGUUGAAUGACUGCAUGACUGUUUUGUAGAUGAAAUAUAAUUAAAUGUUAUAAGAAUUUCUCAUCCAUAGAUAUUUGUUAGCACAAAAUUUUUGUGCCGUGAACCUCUCUAUCAAUAAUUUUGCAUUUGUCUCUUAUAUCAUAAUAAAUUACUUAGCAGUUGAAAUACUGGGAUUAUGCACAUUUAAAAUUAUUACAAGAUUUCCUUAAAAUGUGGUAACAACUUUAUCUUCAAAUGGCAAUGAAUGAGAUUGCCAGCUUUCCCACAACUACACAGAUAAUGGAUUUUAUAAAUAUUUAAACUUCUUGCGAAUGUGAUAGCCCAAACUAUUGUCUUAAAUUGUAUUUCUUUCGUUUUUGAGUUUGAUCAUUUUUUCAUGUUUAUUAGCCAUUUGUAUUCUUUAAUUUCCUCUUUAUGUCCAAUUUUGGGGGUGGAGGUUUAAUCUUCUAAUUUUGAAGAGCUCAUUUAUUAUUGAGGAAAAAAGGUUUGGAUUGUUAAGCUUUACAGGUAUUUUUUAUGCACUUUUAAACUUUAUUUUUGUUAUAAGAAUGUGUAUGAUUGUUAUAUGUCCAAGUAUAACCAUGUUUGCUUUAAUGGCUUAUGAGUUUCAUGACAUUUUGGAAAAAUAUUUAUACUGAUUUCAUAAAACCGUUCACCUAUGUUAACUUUUAUUCUUUUGUCUUUCUUUUAUUCAAAUUCUUAAAUCAUGAGAAAUUUUUUUGAUUUGAAAUCUUAAAGUUGUCAAGUUAUUUGCCAUUACUUACGAUUAUUUGCCAAUAAUUGCCCAUUUAUCUGUAAUGCCAUCUUGCACAUGUGCUGUAUUCUCAUCUGUUACUGGCACCAUUUUUGUUCUGUGGAUCUGUGUGUCUCUUCUUCUGCCUCCUGUUUCAUGUGUCUUCUCGUUGGAAGAAAUUACAGUUUAGACUGCAAUUUCAUCAACUUUAAUAAAUUAAUUUAGGGGAGAAUUUGGUUUUUAAUAAUAUACGUCUUCCUACCCAAGAAUAAGGUAUGUCUUUCUAUUUAUUAAACAAUUUUAAUUACUGUUAAUAUUUUCACUUUGUGAUGGGGGUUUAUUUUAUCCCUUGAUAUUUUUUCUACACCUGAAAGUUUUGUUUUGGGGGGUAAGUGCUCACCUUACUCUUUCUCAUGACUUUUCAGAUUUUUCCAAAAUACAUACCAGAACCUUUGCAAAUACU